rnacentral:rRNA from 1 species
UACGAAGGGGGCUAGCGUUGUUCGGAAUCACUGGGCGUAAAGCGCACGUAGGCGGAUAUUUAAGUCAGGGGUGAAAUCCCGGGGCUCAACCCCGGAACUGCCUCUGAUACUGGGUGUCUUGAGUGUGGGAGGGGUGAGUGGAAUUGCGAGUGUAGAGGUGAAAUUCGUAGAUAUUCGCAGGAACACCAGUGGCGAAGGCGGCUUACUGGACCGAAACUGACGCUGAGGUGCGAAAGCGUGGGGAGCAAACAGG